rnacentral:rRNA from 1 species
CGCGUAUCCAACCUGCCCACCACUUGGGGAUAACCUUGCGAAAGUAAGACUAAUACCCAAUGACGUCUCUAGAAGACAUCUGAAAGAGAUUAAAGAUUUAUCGGUGAUGGAUGGGGAUGCGUCUGAUUAGCUUGUUGCGGGGUAACGGCCCACCAAGGCGACGAUCAGUAGGGGUUCUGAGAGGAAGGUCCCCCACAUUGGAACUGAGACACGGUCCAAACUCCUACGGGAGGCAGCAGUGAGGAAUAUUGGUCAAUGGACGAGAGUCUGAACCAGCCAAGUAGCGUGCAGGAAGACGGCCCUAUGGGUUGUAAACUGCUUUUAUAAGGGAAUAAAGUGAGUCUCGUGAGACUUUUUGCAUGUACCUUAUGAAUAAGGACCGGCUAAUUCCGUG